CUAGAUGCGGUCCAGGUGGGGGUCUAGAUGCGGUCCAGGUGGGGUCUAGAUGCGGUCCAGGUGGGGUCUAGAUGCGGUCCAGGUGGGGGUCUAGAUGCAGUCCAGGUGGGGUCUAGAUGCGGUCCAGGUGGGGUCUAGAUGCGGUCCAGGUGGGGGUCUAGAUGCGGUCCAGGUGGGGUCUAGAUGCGGUCCAGGUGGGGUCUAGAUGCGGUCCAGGUGGGGGUCUAGAUGCGGUCCAGGUGGGGUCUAGAUGCGGUCCAGGUGGGGUCUAGAUGCGGUCCAGGUGGGGGUCUAGAUGCGGUCCAG